GAUGAACGCUGGCGGCGUGCCUAAUACAUGCAAGUCGAGCGAACAGACGAGGAGCUUGCUCCUUUGACGUUAGCGGCGGACGGGUGAGUAACACGUGGAUAACCUACCUAUAAGACUGGGAUAACUUCGGGAAACCGGAGCUAAUACCGGAUAACAUGUUGAACCGCAUGGUUCAACAGUGAAAGACGGUCUUGCUGUCACUUAUAGAUGGAUCCGCGCCGCAUUAGCUAGUUGGUAAGGUAACGGCUUACCAAGGCAACGAUGCGUAGCCGACCUGAGAGGGUGAUCGGCCACACUGGAACUGAGACACGGUCCACACUCCUACGGGAGGCAGCAGUAGGGAAUCUUCCGCAAUGGGCGAAAGCCUGACGGAGCAACGCCGCGUGAGUGAAGAAGGUCUUCGGAUCGUAAAACUCUGUUAUUAGGGAAGAACAAAUGUGUAAGUAACUAUGCACGUCUUGACGGUACCUAAUCAGAAAGCCACGGCUAACUACGUG
rnacentral:rRNA from 1 species